rnacentral:rRNA from 1 species
GUGGGGAAUAUUGGACAAUGGGCGAAAGCCUGAUCCAGCAAUGCCGCGUGAGUGAUGAAGGCCUUAGGGUUGUAAAGCUCUUUUACCCGGGAUGAUAAUGACAGUACCGGGAGAAUAAGCUCCGGCUAACUUCGUGCCAGCAGCCGCGGUAAUACGAGGGGAGCUAGCGUUGUUCGGAAUUACUGGGCGUAAAGCGCGCGUAGGCGGUUUUUUAAGUCAGAGGUGAAAGCCCGGGGCUCAACCCCGGAAUAGCCUUUGAAACUGGAAAACUAGAAUCUUGGAGAGGUCAGUGGAAUUCCGAGUGUAGAGGUGAAAUUCGUAGAUAUUCGGAAGAACACCAGUGGCGAAGGCGACUGACUGGACAAGUAUUGACGCUGAGGUGCGAAAGCGUGGGGAGCAAACAGGAUUAGAUACCCCGGUAGUCC